GCCAAGUGAUGUGAGUAUUUCAAACCAUUCUUGUGUUACAGUGUAUCUUAUAGCUAAAUGAAAUGCGGGCAUGUAUUUGUUUUAAAUUCUGUUUAUUGUUUCGCUCAGAUGAGACAGCAGAGACAUGGUAGCCGAUUUCGAAAGAGUGAUACCGUAACCGCUGUGCUUUCCAUUCCCAAUGAGUCUUGCAAUAUUGUACACAUUGCCGGGACAUCGUUCUAUUACUUGCCUGGGUUCAAAGCUUAUUUCACAUAGCUUCGAGCACUCGAAGUUAUAAUAAUUGUGCGCGACAUUUGCUUCUUUCAAGCAAUGCCAUAGUUGACGUGUAUCAUUUUGCGACAGAUUUACUCCGUAUCUCGUCGGAUGACCAUUGCUGAGCCAAAGGCGUACGGCAGUUACUGCAGCUGGACAUCGAUGGACGUAGAUGUUAUGGUCAAUCUGAGUCACGGUAGUGCAUUUUCCCUGUUUCAGUGUUGGUUUUGUAAAUUCUGUUGUAGCUACGAAAACGAACAGGGAAACAGCACUCAGAAAGGACAAGGUGUAGCAGAACAUCUCCGGACAUCUAUUUACCAUGACGACCUACAGUAAAAUGAGACAACUCGUCAUGGAUUUCAAUAUUUAUUGGUAUGAGGACGGCGACAUUUUCCUUGGAGUUGAUGAUCCUGGGUAACGUCCCGCAUGCCGCACACAUCAUCACCCGAUUGGGACCAGGAAUCGCCAGCUUUGGCUGGCUGUUCGACAUCGGACCAGUGAUCGCCAGUCAUUUCGUCGUCGGUGGUGGCAGGUAGUUCUCCGGAACCCAAGUCCUUCUACGACUUCCAGAGGGUUGCAACAGUCGGUCCAACGUGUCCGAAGGAUCAUCGUCGUCAUCAUUGCAUCAGUGUACAAAUGCUACAUGGGUGGUGCUGCGGCUGAGAAGAUUAUGUGUUGUGAACAAGAUUGCAUGUGCUGCAGCUCCAUGCAGAGUUGUCCUGCAGUGGCACAGGUAGACAAGGGUAUAUCUGUGCAAUGUUCGCUGUGCCAGCUGAAAGCGCAGGUGCAAAGUCAGCGACACCCAAGGGUUCUCCAGCGUAUGGGUCACGUCAUGAAUUCAACAACAAGCUCAUUAUGAAAUCUAGUUUAACUGGGCUGCCAAAUAAAAAUGUGUACAACCAGA